GAGGCGAAUCUCGUUGAAGUUCUUGAGGACUUGGGUUGGGGAGUGGUGGGUGACGCCGCCGUCAGAGUCUUCGUCGGAACCGACGGCGAGGGAGGAGGUGGAGGAAGGGGAUGUGGCGGCGGUGGCGGUAGCGGCGGCGGAGGAGGAGGGGCGUUUGGGGCCGAGAAACUGGCCGAGGGUUUGAAUGGGUUUCACGAUUCCGCCGAAGACGAGGCGGAGGAGGUUCCAGAAGGGGCCGCGGGACUUGUCGGAGGCGGCGGAGGAGGAGGAAGAGUCGUCGUCGGAGAUGACGCAGUCGACGCGGACGACGACGUUUUCGACCUGCGGGACGAGGGAGUGGAAGCGGCGCGAGACGACGCAGCA
rnacentral:lncRNA from 1 species